AGCGAACGCUGGCGGCAUGCCUAACACAUGCAAGUCGAACGAAGCCUUCGGGCUUAGUGGCGCACGGGUGCGUAACGCGUGGGAAUCUGCCCUUGGGUUCGGAAUAACAGUCAGAAAUGACUGCUAAUACCGGAUGAUGUCUUCGGACCAAAGAUUUAUCGCCCAAGGAUGAGCCCGCGUAGGAUUAGGUAGUUGGUGGGGUAAUGGCCCACUAAGCCGACGAUCCUUAGCUGGUCCGAGAGGAUGAUCAGCCACACUGGGACUGAGACACGGCCCAGACUCCUACGGGAGGCAGCAGUGGGGAAGAUUGGACAAUGGGCGAAAGCCUGAUCCAGCAAUGCCGCGUGAGUGAUAAAGGCCUUAGGGUUGUAAAGCUCUUUUACCAGGGAUGAUAAUGACAGUACCUGGAGAAUAAGCUCCGGCUAACUCCGUGCCAGCCGCCGCAGUAAGAC
rnacentral:rRNA from 1 species